rnacentral:rRNA from 1 species
UACGUACGAGGCAAGCGUUAUCCGGAAUUACUGGGCGUAAAGCGCGCGCAGGCGGACGUUUAAGUAAGGGCGUGAAAUCUCCCGGCCUAACUGGGAGGGGUCGCUCUAGACUGGGCGUCUUGAGGACUGCAGAGGUGGGUGGAAUUCCGUGGUGAUAGUGGUGAAAUGCGUAGAGAUCAGGGAGGAACACCGGUGGCGGAAGGCGGCCCACUGGGCCAGUCACUGACGCUGAAGGCG